UUAAAAUUGGAUGACAUUUUAACUUCAAAAUGCCUGAACUGUCAGCCUAAUUUCAACUCUAUCAUUAUGAUUCUCUUUUUGUUUGCUUAGGCAAAGACAGCACCUGGUCCUACUGCUUUCCAACAAUGAUGCAUUUGCAAUCUCGUGUGUUUUACAUUCCCCGCUAUGAUCAUCUGAUCCUCUUCCACGCCUGCAACCUUAAUUUCUAUUCAUAUUUCUCUGCUGCUGCUGCUAAGUCACUUCAGUCGUGCCUGACUCUGUGCGACCCCAUAGAUGGCAGCCCACCAGGCUCCCCCGUCCCUGGGAUUCUCCAGGCAAGAACACUGGAGUGGGUUGCCAUUUCCUUUUCCACUGCAUGAAAG
rnacentral:lncRNA from 1 species